AGUGAACGCUGGCGGUAGGCCUAACACAUGCAAGUCGAACGGCAGCACAGUAAGAGCUUGCUCUUACGGGUGGCGAGUGGCGGACGGGUGAGGAAUACAUCUGAAUCUACUUUUUCGUGGGGGAUAACGUAGGGAAACUUACGCUAAUACCGCAUACGACCUACGGUUGAAAGCAGGGGAUCUUCGGACCUUGCGCGAUUGAAUGAGCCGAUGUCGGAUUAGCUAGUUGGCGGGGUAAAGGCCCACCAAGGCGACGAUCCGUAGCUGGUCUGAGAGGAUGAUCAGCCACACUGGAACUGAGACACGGUCCAGACUCCUACGGGAGGCAGCAGUGGGGAAUAUUGGACAAUGGGCGCAAGCCUGAUCCAGCCAUACCGCGUGGGUGAAGAAGGCCUUCGGGUUGUAAAGCCCUUUUGUUGGGAAAGAAAAGCAGCAGGUUAAUACCCCGCUGUUCUGACGGUACCCAAAGAAUAAGCACCGGCUAACUUCGUG
rnacentral:rRNA from 1 species